UGCAGUCGAGGGGUAACAGGAAGUGCUUGCACUUCGCUGACGACCGGCGCACGGGUGAGUAUCGCGUAUACAAUCUACCUCAUACUAGGGAAUAGCCCGAAGAAAUUUGGAUUAAUGCCCUAUAGUAUCUUUUUAAGGCAUCUUAUUAAGAUUAAAGGUUACGGUAUGAGAUGAGUAUGCGUUCUAUUAGCUAGUAGGUGUGGUAACGGCACACCUAGGCUACGAUAGAUAGGGGCCCUGAGAGGGGGAUCCCCCACACUGGUACUGAGACACGGACCAGACUCCUACGGGAGGCAGCAGUAAGGAAUAUUGGACAAUGGGCGAAAGCCUGAUCCAGCCAUGCCGCGUGCAGGAUGACUGCCCUAUGGGUUGUAAACUGCUUUUAUAUAGGAAGAAAAAUUUUCUCGUGAGAAAACUUGACGGUACUAUAAGAAUAAGGAUCGGCUAACUCCGUGCCAGCAGCCGCGGUAAUACGGAGGAUCCAAGCGUUAUCCGGAAUCAUUGGGUUUAAAGGGUCCGUAGGUGGACAAAUAAGUCAGAGGUGAAAUCCUGCAGCUCAACUGUAGAACUGCCUUUGAUACUGUUUGUCUUGAGUUAUUAUGAAGUGGUUAGAAUGUGUAGUGUAGCGGUGAAAUGCAUAGAUAUUACACAGAAUACCGAUUGCGAAGGCAGAUCACUAAUAAUUAACUGACACUGAGGGACGAAAGCGUGGGUAGCGAACAGGAUUAGAUACCCUGGUAGUCCACGCCGUAAACGAUGGUCACUAGCUGUUUGGACUUCGGUCUGAGUGGCUAAGCGAAAGUGAUA
rnacentral:rRNA from 1 species